UACGUAGGGUGCAAGCGUUUAAUCGGAAUUACUGGGCGUAAAGCGUGCGCAGGCGGUUUUGUAAGUCUGACGUGAAAUCCCCGGGCUCAACCUGGGAAUUGCGUUGGAGACUGCAAGGCUAGAAUCUGGCAGAGGGGGGGUAGAAUUCCACGUGUAGCAGUGAAAUGCGUAGAGAUGUGGAGGAACACCGAUGGCGAAGGCAGCCCCCUGGGUCAAGAUUGACGCUCAUGCACGAAAGCGUGGGGAGCAAACAGG
rnacentral:rRNA from 1 species